rnacentral:rRNA from 1 species
CAUCGAUGGAUAGGGGUUCUGAGAGGAAGGUCCCCCACAUUGGAACUGAGACACGGUCCAAACUCCUACGGGAGGCAGCAGUGAGGAAUAUUGGUCAAUGGGCGCUAGCCUGAACCAGCCAAGUAGCGUGAAGGAUGACUGCCCUAUGGGUUGUAAACUUCUUUUAUAUGGGAAUAAAGUGCAGUAUGUAUACUGCUUUGCAUGUACCUUAUGAAUAAGGAUCGGCUAACUCCGUGCCAGCAGCCGCGGUAAUACGGAGGAUCCGAGCGUUAUCCGGAUUUAUUGGGUUUAAAGGGAGCGUAGGCGGGUUGUUAAGUCAGUUGUGAAAGUUUGCGGCUCAACCGUAAAAUUGCAGUUGAUACUGGCAUCCUUGAGUACAGUAGAGGUAGGCGGAAUUCGUGGUGUAGCGGUGAAAUGCUUAGAUAUCACGAAGAACUCCGAUUGCGAAGGCAGCCUGCUGGACUGUAACUGACGCUGAUGCUCGAAAGUGUGGGUAUCAAACAGGAUUAGAUACCCUGGUAGUCCACACAGUAAACGAUGAAUACUCGCUGUUUGCGAUAUACAGUAAGCGGC